rnacentral:siRNA from 1 species
AGAAGUUGUACGGCGGUUGAGGAG